UUAGAUUUUAUUUAUUAAUUAUUAAUAUUAAAUUUUAAAAUAUUAGAAAUAACUAUAAAUUUAAGUGUUUUAGUAUUGUUUAAAGAAAAAAUAAUUUUAAUAAUAGUGUAAUAGUAUUGUGAAAGAAAAUUGAAAUAAUUUGAAAAAUUUUUAUUAUAAAAGAAAAUUUAAUUUAUUGUACCUUGUGUAUCAGCGUUUAUUAAAUAAAAAAUAAAUAUUUAUUUUUCUCGAUUUUAAAAGAGUUAAUAUAAUAUGUAAGUUAAUGUGACAAAAUUAUUUAAAAUAUUAUAUUAGAAAUGAAAUGUUAUUCGUUUUUAAUGGUAUCUAGUUUUUCAAGAAAUAAAUUUAAUUUAGAAAUUAUAAAUUUAUUUAAUUAUUUAAAAAAUUAAAUAAUUUUAUAAUUUUAAUAUUUUAUGGGAUAAGCUAUAAAAUAAAUUUUUAAAAAUAAUAAAUAAAUUUAAUAAAUAUAUGCUUAGAAUUAGCAAUUAUUAAAAAAUUUGUUAUAAUUUAUUUUAUAAAUUAAAUUAUUUAUUAAAUUUUAAUUAUUUAUUGAAAUAUUAAUUUUACUUUAUAAAAUUAAGAAAUAAUGAUAGAAUUAGUAUAUUUUUAUGUAUAAAUAAAUUUUAAUGAUAAGUUUAAGUAAAG
rnacentral:rRNA from 1 species